rnacentral:rRNA from 1 species
UACGGAGGAUGCGAGCGUUAUCCGGAUUUAUUGGGUUUAAAGGGUGCGUAGGCGGAUUUUUAGGUCAGCGGUAAAAUGUCCGGGCUCAACCCGGGCCGGCCGUUGAAACUGGGGAUCUUGAGUGGGCGAGAAGUAUGCGGAAUGCGUGGUGUAGCGGUGAAAUGCAUAGAUAUCACGCAGAACUCCGAUUGCGAAGGCAGCAUACCGGCGCCCGACUGACGCUGAGGCACGAAAGCGUGGGGAUCGAACAGG